rnacentral:lncRNA from 1 species
UAGGAAGCAGACCCCCAGACCAGUGCUGUGGGAUGCAUAGACCCUUUUCUGCUUUACUGGUGUUUGUUGCCUUUACUGGCUCUGCCAUGCUGCGUUGGGCUUAGUGUGAUACAGCAUGGCAGGAAUUACUAGUGACAUAGUGAUAAGAAGAAAAUCUGAGACCCUAACAAAUGCUAGGAAAAAGGAAAUAGUGCAUUUUAUUAUUAUUUAUCUACAAUACUGAAGACUGAUGGCCACCACAGUCCUGGCCCUCAGAGCUAUACCACUGAUCGCCGUUGUCAGAGGGAAGACUCUGAAGGAGUUCACAUUGCCUUAGAGGAAGGCUGAGAUCAGUGAACCUGCUGUCAGGCUGGGCAUGGGUCAGACCAUCCAGACUUCUGUCAUCUACUGCUAGCUCUCCCUGAAGAAUUGACUGUCAUGAAUGUGACGAGUCCAUGCUCUGUCCAUGCAACCAUUCCCAUAGCUUCAAACAAGCAGUCUUAUUUUUCCAACAAAUUCUUCUGCCACAGAACUCCAUGUGAAGUCCUCUGCUGCAUCAUCAUCUGACUUGUAGCACGAUGGAGGAGUCUGGAGCUGGUUGUAGUUCAUGUCCCAUGUGGAAGCCAUCCUUGCAAGGCAGUGCCAGGCUCAGUGCACCCUUCUCUCUAAUCCUGGAGGAUCAGCUUGGCUCAGCUGCUGGCAGUAUUGUCGAUAAAUGCAGUAAACAACAGGCUGCUUUCUUACAGAACAAGUUAUAUGAAGUCGUCAUCCAUUUGGCGAGUAAGAUGGAGCAAGAACUCCUCCUCUGGGUUUGGUACCUCCUCUAAGCCUGUAGCCUGGCUCUGCACAUAGGAAACGGUUUCUUUGGCUCCAGAGUGACUUUGUUUGAAGCCAGUACUUCUUACAGCUGCACAGAGAUUUCUAUGGUCAAACGUAUUGAUAAAG